rnacentral:rRNA from 1 species
GCAGGGAAUAUUGCACAAUGGGCGCAAGCCUGAUGCAGCGACGCCGCGUGAGGGAUGAAGGCUUUCGAGUUGUAAACCUCUUUCAGUGGGGAAGAAGCGCAAGUGACGGUACCCACACAAGAAGGCCCGGCCAACUACGUGCCAGCAGCCGCGGUAAUACGUAGGGGCCAAGCGUUAUCCGGAUUUAUUGGGCGUAAAGAGCUCGUAGGCGGCUUGGCAAGUCGGUCGUGAAAGUCCGAGGCUCAACCUCGGAAUGCCGGUCGAAACUGCCAUGGCUAGGGUUCGGUAGAGGAGAGUGGAAUUCUCGGUGUAGCGGUGAAAUGCGCAGAUAUCGAGAGGAACACCAGUAGCGAAGGCGGCUCUCUGGGCCGAUACCGACGCUGAGGAGCGAAAGCGUGGGGAGCAAACAGG